rfam:Bacillus sp. KCTC 13219 scaffold1.1, whole genome shotgun sequence.
UAUCACCUUCGGGGUCGGGUGCAAAUCCCAAUCGGCGGUAUAGCCCGCGAGCUUUAUUAAGCAGGAUUCGGUGAAAUUCCGAAGCCGACAGUAAYAGUCUGGAUGAGAGAAGGUAGGC